rnacentral:lncRNA from 1 species
AAUUUUAAACACAAGGUUUAUGACCACAAAAGGAAGGUUGGGAUUGUUUUUGGGAGUUUUGGUCCCAACAUUUUAGGAAUUAGGGGCCAAAAAGGGCCCAAAUAUGCAUUUUCUUGGUUUUCGCACUAUAACUUUAGUUUAAGUGAAUAGAAAUCUAUGAAAUUUUGACACAAGGUUUAUGACCACAAAAGGAAGGUUGGGAUUGAUUUUGGGAGUUUUGGUUCCAACAGUUUAGGAAUUAAGGGCCAAAAAAGGGCCCAAAUAAGCAUUAUUCUUGGUUUUUGCACAAUAACUUGAGUAUAAGUAAAUAGAAAUCAAUGAAAUCUUAACACACGGUUUAUGACCACAAAAGGAAGGUUGGGAUUGAUUUUUGGAGUUGAGGUCACAACAGUUUAUGAAUUAGGGCCCAAAAAGGGGCCCAAAUAAGCAUUAUUUUUGGUUUUUGCACCAUAACUUUAGUAUAAGUAAAUAGAAAUCUAUGAAACUUAAAUACAAGGUUUAUGACCAUAAAAGGAAGGUUGGGUUUGAUUUUGGGAGUUUUGGUCCUAACAGUUUAGGAAUAAGGGGCCCAAAGGGUCCAAAAUUGAACUUUGUGUGAUUUCAUCAAAAAUUGAAUAAUUGGGGUUCUUUGAUAUGCCGAAUCUAACUAUGUAUGUAGAUUCUUAAUUUUUGGUCCCGUUUUCAAAUUGGUCUACAUUAAGGUCCAAAGGGUCCAAAAUUAAACUUAGUUUGAUUUUAACAAAAAUUGAAUCCUUGGGGUUCUUUGAUAUGCUGAAUUUAAAAAUGAACUUAGAUUUUUAAUUAUUGGCCUAGUUUUCAAGUUGGUCCAAAUGGGGG